GGUGCGAUUUUUCUUUUCUCCUGAUAAACAACAAAAUCACAUCUCUGUGUGUAAACUCUAACCUUAAAUAUUCUUAUAAAUCGCUCAAAAAAGAGUUGGUUAUCGAGCAUCAAGGAACAAUGCUCAAGGAACAAUGCUCAGUUUAAAAUAUUCCAUAUUCUAAGGUAACAGAGAUGGAUACAUGAGCGUAGCCGAUAUUUUAAUUCCUAAGGGAAAUUUUAGAAGACCAUCUUCAGAGGCAUACUGCAUUUCCGGAACCAAGUUUCCGUUACAGUCCUUUUUGAUUUAUCAAGUCUCAAGCUCUAUACUCCCUCCGUCUCUAAAAUAUAGGCAGGUUUCUUUAUUUGGGUAUGUCAAAAAAAAUAGGCUUGUUUCCAUAUGUGGAAAGUCAAAUGUUAUGAUUUUACUACUAUACUCAUAGAGGGGCCACUUCUCUCUCUCCUUUUUCUCUCCUAAUAUAAAAAGGGGACCACUUCUCUCUCCUUUUUCUCUAAUAACAAAUGAGUGGGGAUCAAAGGAUAGUUUAGAAAAAAACAUGAAAAAGUGGUUAUAAUGAUUAGUUUUUUUAAUUUUUGUGAAAACUAAACUUGCCUAUUUUUUUAGAAACGAAGGGAAUAUCAUUCAGUAUCGAAUAGCUCUCAUUUGUCAAUAUAUGUCCUGUCAGGUUUGUAGUUAGACUUUAAAGAAUUGAAUUUUGUAUGUUUUGAUUUGGUUAACUUUACUAAUUCAAUAGAGCAUACUUGCACACCUGAUGAGAAUAUUCUAAGAAGAUUUGUAACAACUGAUCAUGAUGUAAACCUCAAUUUUCAUUAAACUGUGUUUUACGAAGCUCCUUUUGCGAUCCGAUAACAACUAAUAAGUAUUAUUACUGUGAAAAGCGAAUGAAAAGGAUCUUGCUAGGGAGAAAAGAAAGAUUCCGAAGGAAGAACUGAUGCUAAAGAGAGCAUUACAGCAUCGGUUGCAUUUUUCUUUUCUUUUUUAGAUUCUGUGAUUUUCAUUUAAUCAAAAUACAUUUUCGCUUUACCUAACUGUUGUAUUGUUUUGAUUUGGAGAUUGGUGCUAUGAACAACUAAAAAACAAAGUGAAGUUUUUAGAAGUAAGCUCACUUGGAAAUCAGAGGAUAGUAAAUUACCAAGAGUAUUAUACCAACCUGGACCGAAUUCUAUAUAUCUCAUCUUUGUCUUUAUUGCAUAUUUGCAGCCAAUCAGAGAAUGUGAAGAUGAUUAUAAAAAUAAAUAAAUAAAUA